rnacentral:rRNA from 1 species
CACGCUGUAAACGAUGAGUGCUAGGUGUUGGCCAGCGAUGGUCAGUGCCGGAGUAAACACAAUAAGCACUCCGCCUGGGGAGUACGGUCGCAAGACUGAAACUCAAAGGAAUUGACGGGGACCCGCACAAGCAGCGGAGCAUGUGGUUUAAUUCGAAGCAACGCGAAGAACCUUACCAAGGCUUGACAUCCCCUUGACAGGUGCAGAAAUGUGCCCUCUCCUUCGGGAGCAAGGGUGACAGGUGG